rnacentral:lncRNA from 1 species
AAACGUCACUAUUUUGUCUCCUUCCUCUUCUGUGAAAUCAUGUUGGGUGUGUCAAUUGUCUGGCCUCAAGUUUGGGUUUGCGUUUGUGGAGGCAGGCAAAACAGAUCCAAAGAACGUCUCCAAUGUCAUCUUUAAAAAUGUAGCAGACACAUGUAAGUUGACAUUUUUUGGUAGUUUUUUUGCCUAGUUUGAAGAUAAUCUAGGAGAUUAUAAAAAUAGAAAUGUCAUGAGAUGCAAACACAUAUGCCAAA